AUGGCCCGCUUUAUCAAGGGCGUUGACAACAGGGCUACACUCACAAAGAACUGGAGCAACUUCUUCCAUAAGGCAAACAUGAAGAAAGGGUGUGCAUAUGCUUUCGUCUUCAAGUGCAUGUCUAAGGGCCUCUGCAUGAUCGUCUAUUCAAUCUAA
rnacentral:rRNA from 1 species